GUUGAGGUGGCCGAGUGGUUAAGGCGUUGGAUUAGAAAUCCAAUGGGAUCUUCCCGCGCAGGCCCGAAUCCUGCCCGCAACG
rfam:Nematostella vectensis strain CH2 x CH6 NEMVEscaffold_452_Cont27650, whole genome shotgun sequence.